UACGUAGGGUCCGAGCGUUGUCCGGAAUUAUUGGGCGUAAAGGGCUCGUAGGCGGUUUGUCGCGUCGGGAGUGAAAACACGGGGCUUAACCCCGUGCCUGCUUCCGAUACGGGCAGACUAGAGGUAUGCAGGGGAGAACGGAAUUCCUGGUGUAGCGGUGAAAUGCGCAGAUAUCAGGAGGAACACCGGUGGCGAAGGCGGUUCUCUGGGCAUUACCUGACGCUGAGGAGCGAAAGUGUAGGGAGCGAACAGG
rnacentral:rRNA from 1 species